rnacentral:rRNA from 1 species
GAUGAACGCUAGCGGCAGGCUUAAUACAUGCAAGUCGUGGGGCAGCACGGGUAGCAAUACCUGGUGGCGACCGGCAAACGGGUGCGGAACACGUACGCAACCUUCCUUCAAGUGGGGAAUAGCCCCAGAGAAAUUUGGAUUAAUACCCCGUAAUAUUAUGAGGUGGCAUCAUCUUAUAAUUAUAGCUACGGCGCUUGGAGAUGGGCGUGCGCCUGAUUAGGUAGUUGGCGGGGUAACGGCCCACCAAGCCUUCGAUCAGUAACUGGUGUG